GAAACACCGAAACAGUUUGCUGGUGCCUCCUCUGAGGGCACAGGAAUCCCACUGAAGUGAGAGUAUAAGUAAUAUAGGAGUCCCAAAAAGAAAGGACUAGAGAAUCAAACCAGCACAUCUACUAAAAAGUCUGGAAACAUCUGAAUUUUCUACACAAAGGAAAUGUAAUAGAUCUCAAUUGUCUAGACUUCAGUAAAUUAUUACAUAUGGGAAACAUGGGAAAUUAUUAGUUGAUCUGGAGAAGAUGGAAAUUAGCUGAAGUACUGUAACACUGGAAAAGAACUGUCUGAAAGUCAAAACUCCAACAGGUGCAAUUAAGUCCUCACAGUCCCCAUAUGAACCAGGUCUUCCUUUCACUCUCAGUAUCAACACUGAAUUCAUUUGCUGUACCUUCAUGUUAUAUCAGUGUUCCUGGGGGAGAGGGCCUUGCUGAUAUGGAGGAGGACAGGAAAAAUAGUCCUAAAUCAAUCAGAAGAAAUCCAACAAGGGUAAGUACAGAGUCCUGCACUUGGGAAAGAAUAGUUGCAUGCAUAAAUACAGACUGGGGAAUGACUGGUAGUAGAAUGAUUGCAGUAGUAUGGAGAAUGACCCGUGGACCAUGAAUACUGUGGACCAUAAGCUGAAUGUGAGCCAGCAUAUAGAAGGGAUCUCAUGCAGUCAUUUAGUUCAGUGUAACAGGAGACCUCUAACCCCUGUCACUUUAAGAGUGAGGGAAUUAUUAUAAUUAUGUGGCUUGCAGGAGUGUUGGCAGCUGAAUUGGUGCCAGCUGCAAACAGGCAAGCAGCUGAAGGGAGUUAGGAGCCACAGCUUUAAGGCAGUAACAAAUUGCAAGCCACUUAUCUGAGGGAGGCAGCAAAAAGAUAAGCAGGGAUACAGGUUUUCUGUUUCUCACAGAAAAAUGGAGUAAACAACGGGUUUUACCUUUUACCAGAGGCAAACCCAGAUUUCUCAUUUUAUUGGAGAAGACCCAUGGAUUUUGCUCCCUGCAGGCUGGCAGAGCUCUAGCUGAGAGCAUGAAGCCUGACAAGUUUCAAGAAGAGUGGUGCAGG